ACCUGAGGACGACCUCAGGCUCGAAUACCGAUCGGGGACGGCCCUG
rnacentral:ncRNA from 1 species